rnacentral:lncRNA from 1 species
GGCUGAAUGAGCUAAUCUACACUAAAUGAUCAUUCAUUGAUUAAGUGGCAUUUCUCAUGAAUGAUGAAAAAGUAAAGUGGAUAAGGUCGGUUUUAUGCCAAAUGUCAUUUGUUUACUAUUUACAAACAACUUGCUGCCUUUGCUAUUGUGAGUGGAAUCCUUGACGAAGACUUUGCAUACUCGCUUGAUUAACAUGCUUUCUACCGACUCACUUGUUAACCCUACUUUCUUGCCAAUAACCUAUUCUUUCUAACCUUAUCGGGCAUUUUAUCGCUGCGUCCAAAACUAAUAAAAAAAAAAUAAAAUAAUAAAAUAAUUAUUAUGAGCAAGGCCGAUUUUUAACAUGACGACAAGUUCCUUCCUAUUGUUAGUCUAGGCAACCUAUUUUUGGUGGCUGUAAAAAGUGUUGAAUGUCCGACUCAACAGUCCCUUCCCAAAGUGUACAGAUAGAAAGAAGAGCAGCAAGGGUAAUAAUGGGAGAUGGGGUUUCUGCACAAAUAGUUGAAUUUCCAUUUACCUAACUUGGAGAUCAGAAUAAGGACUAGAGAAUGAAGUUGCUUCAAGGAGUCGGUUUAUCUUGCUAAUAGAAAAAGUACUUAGUUGCGAAAAGAUUGCAUCAUGGCGAUAACAUCUCAAAAAUCCGACAUUUUCAUUCUAAUCGUGAUACAGGUAGUAGUGAUUUGAGGCAACUUUUAGUUGUGAAUUGCUCAUCCGUCUGAAGUGAAAUUAGGAAGUCUUCUUGGCUUACGAUUGUCAUGUUAGCCUUAGUAUUCGCAAAAUUACUGUUACAUGUGGAAAUGACUAAAUUUCUCAUAGAAUUACAUAUGCGUUCGCACUUUUAGCUAAGCGAGUGGCAGUCAAUGAAUGAUAUACAUUUGGCAUGUUAGCGGAUGUGUCGCCUUCAUGUUUGCAUACUCAAAUGUACAAUAACGUAUGUGCAUACGGGAACAAUAAUUUGGUUAUACGUGCAUGAUUGUUCUUAUAGUUAGUUAGUUAGUUGAAGGAGAAACGUUUGGCGAUGGACUUGGCUACAAAAAGUUAUUGUACCGACCUGUCCAGCAUUCAUCAUCAGUCCUUUGAGUGUACGAUAUUUGCGCAUGGGCUUACUGAUAGAGAAUACUACCUACAAGUAGGUAUUAUAUCUUUCAUUAAAGACAUAGUAAAUAUCUGUCAUUUAAAACAGAUAUUUUGUAUAUCCUCUAGUACGUAUUGUUACUUUACUGUAAUUUGCAGUCGAAAAAAUUAAGGAAAUUGAACAACACAGUUCUAAUGUAUAAAAGUAAAUAUGGUGGAAAGUUUAAAGAAUAUUAAGGUUCGCUUAGUUUUCUGCUCAGCAGGCAACCGCAAAGCGAAAAUAGGCAUUGUUUUUAUUCUUAUACUUACAAAAGGAACGGAAACUGUAAAGAAUACCGAGUAAGGUCAAGAAUUUUUUGGUUUCUGUUUUUGUUUUCUUCGCUUUUACGUGAUUUUAAUUUAAACUUUUGUAUAUCAUUUAUAAUUCAGUCAUGUCAUUCCCCAACCAAAUACAUAAGGUCAGGAUGUGAGUGUAGUUCGGUAAUAAUGUGGGUAAAAAAUCGUUUCGUUCCCGUUGUCACAAAACGAUAAUUCGGUCCACCGAUUCACCAUAGCUGGUCAACAUAAAUCAUCUGCUUCGUUAGAUUUUUUAGUAAAAGCAAACUCAAUUCCUUUCGCAUAUAACUUUAGGCUCACCCAUCAAGCUUGAUGUUGGGUUCUUUUUUGUGAAAGAUGUUUUCGGAUUGGCGAAUUCAGCCAACUCGAGAUUUUCUUCGGAAUUCUAUCAAUCCUCAUCUCAUUCAGCAGGUAUAAUCAGUUGAAUCGCUAUAUCUUCUCCAUUUUCAUCUGAAGGUGUAUCCAGACAAUUCAAUGUUAGUCUAUUGGUUAAGCAGUUAUCUUUUGACGAGCAAAAAUUGCUUGAUUUUGCUGAACCUGCUUCAGAAAAAUUUGGUAAAUUUGGCAAUGAAUGAAGACCCGUUGGAUUAUUGAACAAUUUUUUCAUGUUACACUCCAUCUCGGCGUUGAAUUGGCGACAUUUGCAGAGAUCUAGCAACAAUUGGUUAUAAAAGUCACAUUCCUUUUUGGAUGAAGGCGGAUUCUUAAAGAUUGCACCAUCACUAUUGUACAAAAGCAACGUCGACUCUGGUAGUUUACCGAGAAAUAUAUUUUUUUUCAUAUUCAAAUAGAGAUGGAUUGGGAAGGCAUAACCGUUUGAGCCAAUACAGUGAAUCAUUGCAAUCCAACCGAUGUCUGCUUCAGAAUUAGCACACUGAAGAAUUUUGUCAAAUCCAUCAAUUUCAUAAGGUAGAUUAUUUUCCAAUAGCGGCUUACGAAGCUGUACGUAUGACUGAAAAUUCGACGAACUUACUACAAUGCAGUUACAUGUCGAGCCAAGAGCAAAGAUAUCCCUCGGAUUUACCAAAUACAUGCGAAUAUUUCCAAUUUUCUUCUGUACAGCUAACUUUUGGACAGUACUGUAUGCUUCUCCUGAAUUGUUUACAUAAUGCUCAACUGCUGCCCACAAGGCUUCCUGAAGACUUUUCGGGUAAUAUUGAUAGAGCAUGACAUGAUGAAUCAAAACAGUUAAUGGAAAUUCGCCCGAACGUAGAUAGUCGCACAAAUAUUUAAAUAGAGCUUGAUGAUUUCGAAGUAGAUGCGAAACUGCUGUCUGUAUACAAGAAUGAUUAUCGAUCAAGUGAUAAACCUGAUCAGGAAGGCAAAACCCGCUCUCAUCCAUUUCAUAACCAAUUUUCAAAUAGACACCACUAAACGUAUGGAAAACAUAAGAUAACCAACCAUCAUAAAACAAAUUUGGAAUGUCAAAGCGAUCUGGCAGCUCGAAUUCUUUUAACUUGAGAAUUUUACAUGUACACGGUAUCCACGAAAUUGAGUCUAAAAGUAGAAAAUGCGUAUUGUGAGGAUAUUCAAUAUCUGCAUAUGUAAUCGCAGCCAUUGGAUUUUCACAUUGGCAUUUCAUACAAGCCAAUUGGCGCUUAUUUCGACGCAUGCAUAAAAUUAGAAAUUUCGAUAUUUUCAGAGCGAAUUUGUGAAGUAUUGUUGAAUGAAACUUGACAACAUUUGCAUUAUAGUUCAUGGAAAAUAAUAACUAUGUUUGCAUAACACUAACAAGUAUCAGAAAUUAUAGUUAUAGGGAAACCUCAACAGAAAUUAAGCACUUUACAAUAUGCCAAA